rnacentral:rRNA from 1 species
UGGGGAAUAUUGCACAAUGGGCGCAAGCCUGAUGCAGCCAUGCCGCGUGUAUGAAGAAGGCCUUCGGGUUGUAAAGUACUUUCAGCGAGGAGGAAGGCGUUGUGGUUAAUAACCGCAACGAUUGACGUUACUCGCAGAAGAAGCACCGGCUAACUCCGUGCCAGCAGCCGCGGUAAUACGGAGGGUGCAAGCGUUAAUCGGAAUUACUGGGCGUAAAGCGCACGCAGGCGGUCUGUCAAGUCGGAUGUGAAAUCCCCGGGCUCAACCUGGGAACUGCAUCCGAGACUGGCAGGCUAGAGUCUUGUAGAGGGGGGUAGAAUUCCAGGUGUAGCGGUGAAAUGCGUAGAGAUCUGGAGGAAUACCGGUGGCGAAGGCGGCCCCCUGGACAAAGACUGACGCUCAGGUGCGAAAGCGUGGGGAGCAAACA